rnacentral:rRNA from 1 species
UACGUAGGGGGCAAGCGUUGUCCGGAUUUAUUGGGCGUAAAGAGCGUGUAGGCGGCCUGAAAGGUCAGCUGUGAAAACUCGAGGCUCAACCUCGAGACGUCGGUUGAAACCAUCUGGCUAGAGUCCGGAAGAGGAGUGUGGAAUUCCCGGUGUAGCGGUGAAAUGCGCAGAUAUCAGGAAGAACACCCGUGGCGAAGGCGGCCCACUGGGCCGGUACUGACGCUGAGGCGCGAAGGCGUGGGGAGCGAACGGG